rnacentral:tRNA from 3 species
GCCGGCGUAGCUCAAUUGGCAGAGCAGCCGCCUUGUAAGCGGCAGGUUGUCGGUUCGAGUCCGACCGUCGGCU